CAUCCGAUGUAGCUUCUAUUGAGAAGUUGUUGCAGCUCCAAGACGCCGUUCCUUGUAGAAUUAGAGCAAAACGAGGCUGUGCAACUCAUCCACGCAGCAUUGCAGAACGGGUGCGACGAACUCGGAUCAGCGAGCGUAUGAGGAAGCUACAAGAUCUUGUACCAAAUAUGGACAAGCAAACGAACACGGCAGACAUGUUGGACUUAGCGGUCGACUACAUCAAAGAGCUUCAGAAACAGUUCAAGACAUUAAGCGACAACCGAGCUAAUUGCGUGUGCCUGAAUAUGCAGAAGUCGGUAUCAAAUCAAAUAAUGUGAGAAGUUUCUGUACAGAAACAAUAAGAUGAUAGAAGGACAAGAUGAGAUGAAGGAAGUACUGUUUUUAUUAUACAUAUAAAUAUGUGUUUUUGCCAGG
rnacentral:misc_RNA from 1 species